CCGACCGUACUACCACGCGGUGGAUCGCGGCCUCGACCCACCACCACUGCUCCACCUCCCAAGCUGCUGGUGGAUACACUAGUAUCUGAAAGGUGCUGAUCUAUUUGUCGUGGUGUGCUCCUUGUUGCCGUCACCGGUAAUAAUAAGGAAACAGCAGGGCCGGGUAACGUUUUAGUAAUCAGUAGUCGUGCAUACUUAUUAUGAGAGCAGUAUCAACAGAUUUAUUUGUUGCCUAUAGCACUAUCAACAAAUCAGCUCGGACAUAGCAAAACAGUACGUAGCUUCCUCCUCGGAUCCACUCCUCCGUUCCGUUGACACCUGCGUUAGGUGAUAGGCGAAAUAAUGCAACGAUAGAAGACGACAACUACGGAGAAGAAGAGCGCACGCGCCGAGCUUGUGGACGGUGGCCCGCGAGCCCAGUCCGCCGCCGGGGCCGGGGUGCGGAAGCGGUAAAUAAGACAAAAAAAAAAUCCACACACGCCGGCCGAGAGCUGUAAGAUUACCAGCAUCGCCAUCACGGUGCACGCACAGCGAUCCGUCGUCGGCCGAUCCACAUCCACGCACCCACCUGAAUCGCCCGCGACACCGACUGGUACGGUCGAGUUGCCGUGGGCUACAGGAAUCCUACGUGUCUCGCCGCUGCUGUCGCCGGGGGGCGGCCGCCAUGCAUCCACGUCGCCUUGCGCGCUCGAUCGCCCAUGACCUCACGGAUUAACCAGCCACGCGAUUUGCGUGGCUGGGGAUUACCGAUUAGCUAGGUAGUCA
rnacentral:lncRNA from 1 species